rfam:Gorilla gorilla gorilla genomic chromosome, chr18, whole genome shotgun sequence
GUUGGGCAUGGUGGCACAUGUUUAUAGUCCCAGCUACUCCAGAGGCUAAAGCAAGAGGAUUGCUUGGGUUCAGGAGUUCUGGGCUGUAGUGUGUUAUGCUGACCGGGUGUCUGCACUAAGUUUGGCAUCAACAUAGUGAAAUCCCAGGAGCUGGGAUCACCAGGUUGCCUAAGGAGGGGUGAACCAGCCCAGGUCAGAAACUGAGCAGGUCAAAAUUCCUGAUCGAGGCUGUGAACAGCCGCCAUACUCCAGGCUGGGCAACAUAGUGAGACCCUGCCUCUU